UUGGUGGGGUAACGGCCUACCAAGGCGACGACGGGUAGCCGGCCUGAGAGGGCGACCGGCCACACUGGGACUGAGACACGGCCCAGACUCCUACGGGAGGCAGCAGUGGGGAAUGUUGCACAAUGGGCGCAAGCCUGAUGCAGCAACGCCGCGUGAGGGACGACGGCCUUCGGGUUGUAAACCUCUUUUAGUAGGGAAGAAGCGAAAGUGACGGUACCUGCAGAAAAAGCACCGGCUAACUACGUGCCAGCAGCCGCGGUAAUACGUAGGGUGCAAGCGUUAUCCGGAAUUAUUGGGCGUAAAGAGCUCGUAGGCGGUUUGUCGCGUCUGCUGUGAAAACUGGAGGCUCAACCUCCAGCCUGCAGUGGGUACGGGCAAACUAGAGUGCGGUAGGGGAGAUUGGAAUUCCUGGUGUAGCGGUGGAAUGCGCAGAUAUCAGGAGGAACACCGAUGGCGAAGGCAGAUCUCUGGGCCGUAACUGACGCUGAGGAGCGAAAGCAUGGGGAGCGAACAGGAUUAGAUACCCUGGUAGUCCAUGCCGUAAACGUUGGGCGCUAGAUGUGGGGACCAUUCCACGGUUUCCGUGUCGCAGCUAACGCAUUAAGCGCCCCGCCUGGGGAGUACGG
rnacentral:rRNA from 1 species